UGGGGAAUAUUGCACAAUGGGGGAAACCCUGAUGCAGCGACGCCGCGUGAACGAAGAAGGUAUUCGUAUCGUAAAGUUCUGUCCUAUGGGAAGAUAAUGACAGUACCAUAGAAGAAAGCUCCGGCUAAAUACGUGCCAGCAGCCGCGGUAAUACGUAUGGAGCGAGCGUUGUCCGGAAUUAUUGGGCGUAAAGGGUACGCAGGCGGUUUAAUAAGUCGAAUGUUAAAGAUCGGGGCUCAACCCCGUAAAGCAUUGGAAACUGAUAAACUUGAGUAGUGGAGAGGAGAGUGGAAUUCCUAGUGUAGUGGUGAAAUAAGUAGAUAUUAGGAGGAAUACCAGUAGCGAAGGCGACUUUCUGGACACAAACUGACGAUGAGGUACGAAAGCGUGGAGAGCAAACAGG
rnacentral:rRNA from 1 species